rnacentral:rRNA from 1 species
GGGCGUUAAGUUGCAGGGUAUAGACCCGAAACCCGGUGAUCUAGCCAUGGGCAGGUUGAAGGUUGGGUAACACUAACUGGAGGACCGAACCGACUAAUGUUGAAAAAUUAGCGGAUGACUUGUGGCUGGGGGUGAAAGGCCAAUCAAACCGGGAGAUAGCUGGUUCUCCCCGAAAGCUAUUUAGGUAGCGCCUCGUGAAUUCAUCUCCGGGGGUAGAGCACUGUUUCGGCAAGGGGGUCAUCCCGACUUACCAACCCGAUGCAAACUGCGAAUACCGGAGAAUGUUAUCACGGGAGACACACGGCGGGUGCUAACGUCCGUCGUGAAGAGGGAAACAACCCAGACCGCCAGCUAAGGUCCCAAAGUCAUGGUUAAGUGGGAAACGAUGUGGGAAGGCCCAGACAGCCAGGAUGUUGGCUUAGAAGCAGCCAUCAUUUAAAGAAAGCGUAAUAGCUCACUGGUCGAGUCGGCCUGCGCGGAAGAUGUAACGGGGCUAAACCAU